AGGCCUCCGCGUCUUCAUCUGAGGAGAGUGGGAAAAAAUCCUUCAGAGGAAGGAGGGCUGCCAUGGGGAUGAUCCUGAAUCGCUGGUGUACCUGGAGUACCUGAUGUGUGUCUGCUCCGUGAGUUCUCUGGGCGUUGGAGCUGCCGUUGUUACUGAUGGCUGCAGCCCGUUGUUGGGUGCCUAUGGUUGCCGAGCGCUGAGCUUGACCCGGGCUGUGUGCUGGGAUCACUUCAGAGCUGCAUAAAGCCCGGUGUCCAGGGCCGCAUCCCAGACUGACUAAGCCGGGGCAUUCGGGAGCAGAACGGGCUGCCAGGAGGCGCCCAGCACGUGGUCCAGGUCAGGGCCGGUGGCUGCUCCACUGGACAAAUGGGACAAACGGGACUCAGGGCCAGGUGCUCUCCUGCCUCACUGGGAGGGUGACAGACGGUUGUGGUUGUUGGGACCUCUGGCAGAGCAGGGAGGGGACCGGAGCCAGAG
rnacentral:lncRNA from 10 species